GAGACACUAGUAAAAUAAUUACUCUACUUUGUCAAGGUAGCAUUGUAAGUUAAACUCUUGCGUGUCUUU
rnacentral:tRNA from 2 species